CCUACGGGGGGCUGCAGUGGGGAAUAUUGCACAAUGGGCGCAAGCCUGAUGCAGCCAUGCCGCGUGUGUGAAGAAGGCCUUCGGGUUGUAAAGCACUUUCAGCGGGGAGGAAGGCGGUGAGGUUAAUAACCUCAUCGAUUGACGUUACCCGCAGAAGAAGCACCGGCUAACUCCGUGCCAGCAGCCGCGGUAAUACGGAGGGUGCAAGCGUUAAUCGGGAUUACUGGGCGUAAAGCGCACGCAGGCGGUCUGUCAAGUCGGAUGUGAAAUCCCCGGGCUCAACCUGGGAACUGCAUUCGAAACUGGCAGGCUAGAGUCUUGUAGAGGGGGGUAGAAUUCCAGGUGUAGCGGUGAAAUGCGUAGAGAUCUGGAGGAAUACCGGUGGCGAAGGCGGCCCCCUGGACAAAGACUGACGCUCAGGUGCGAAAGCGUGGGGAGCAAACAGGAUUAGAUACCCUAGUAGUC
rnacentral:rRNA from 1 species